CUUUACUGUAGCUUUACAUUGGACUUUGAACAGAUCUGUGUAGGAUAGGUGGGAGGCUUUGAAGCGGUGCCGCUAGGUGUCGUGGAGCCAACGUUGAAAUACCACCCUGGUGUGUUUGAGGUUCUAACCUUGGCCCGUUAUCCGGGUUGGGGACAGUGUAUGGUGGGCAGUUUGACUGGGGCGGUCUCCUCCCAAAGCGUAACGGAGGAGUUCGAAGGUACGCUAGGCACGGUCGGAAAUCGUGCUGAUAGUGCAUUGGCAUAAGCGUGCUUGACUGCGAGACUGACAAGUCGAGCAGGUACGAAAGUAGGACAAAGUGAUCCGGUGGUUCUGUAUGGAAGGGCCAUCGCUCAACGGAUAAAAGGUA
rnacentral:rRNA from 1 species